GUCAAGUUAGUUUAAGAAAAAACAUCAGCCUGUGGAUUUGAAGAUAAAAUACUAUUUUACUUGACC
rnacentral:tRNA from 1 species